GCCUAGAUAGCUUGGUUGGUAGCGCGUCUGUCUUGUAAGCGCUAGUGCCGCGGGUUCGAUUCCCGCCCUUGGCG
rnacentral:tRNA from 1 species